AGAGUGAACGCUGGCGGUAGGCCUAACACAUGCAAGUCGAACGGCAGCACAGUGGUAGCAAUACCAUGGGUGGCGAGUGGCGGACGGGUGAGGAAUACAUCGGAAUCUACCUUUUCGUGGGGGAUAACGUAGGGAAACUUACGCUAAUACCGCAUACGCCCUUCGGGGGAAAGCCGGGGAUCGCAAGACCUGGCGCGGAUAGAUGAGCCGAUGUCGGAUUAGCUAGUUGGUGAGGUAAUGGCUCACCAAGGCGACGAUCCGGUAGCUGGUCUGAGAGGAUGAUCAGCCACACUGGAACUGAGACACGGUCCAGACCU
rnacentral:rRNA from 1 species